CAUGUAGGCGGCUUAAUAAGUCGAGCGUGAAAAUGCGGGGGCUCAACCCCGUAUGGCGCUGGAAACUGUUAGGCUUGAGUGCAGGAGAGGAAAGGGGAAUUCCCAGUGUAGCGGUGAAAUGCGUAGAUAUUGGGAGGAACACCAGUGGCGAAGGCGCCUUUCUGGACUGUGUCUGACGCUGAGAUACGAAAGCCAGGGUAGCGAACG
rnacentral:rRNA from 1 species